rnacentral:rRNA from 1 species
GCCCGCUCAAGAACUUAAUGAAUUGACGGGGCCGCACAAGCGGUGGAGUAUGUGGUUUAAUUCGAUGCAACGCGAAGAACCUUACCUGGUCUUGACAUCCCGGAGACCCUUAGGAAACUAGGGGGUGCUUCCAUCUGGAAGAAUCUGGAGACAGGUGCUGCAUGGCUGUCGUCAGCUCGUGUCGUGAGAUGUUGGGUUAAGUCCCGCAACGAGCGCAACCCUUGCCUUUAGUUGCCAGCAGUUCGGCUGGGCACUCUAAAGGGACUGCCGGUGUUAAACCGGAGGAAGGUGGGGAUGACGUCAAGUCCUCAUGGCCUUUAUGACCAGGGCUACACACGUACUACAAUGGCCGAUACAAAGGGCAGCGACACUGCGAGGUGAAGCCAAUCCCGUAAAAUCGGUCUCAGUCCGGAUUGGAGUCUGCAACUCGACUCCAUGAAGUUGGAAUCGCUAGUAAUCGUGGAUCAGCCAUGGCGCGGUGAAUACGUUCCCGGGCCUU